UACGGAGGAUGCAAGCGUUAUCCGGAAUGAUUGGGCGUAAAGCGUCCGCAGGUGGCAAUGUAAGUCUGCUGUUAAAGAGUCUAGCUCAACUAGAUAAAAGCAGUGGAAACUACAUAGCUAGAGUACGUUCGGGGCAGAGGGAAUUCCUGGUGUAGCGGUGAAAUGCGUAGAGAUCAGGAAGAACACCAGUGGCGAAGGCGCUCUCCUGGGCCAUAACUGACACUGAUGGACGAAAGCUAGGGGAGCGAAAGGG
rnacentral:rRNA from 1 species